rnacentral:misc_RNA from 1 species
AAGUCGUAACAAGGUUUCCGUAGGUGAACCUGCGGAAGGAUCAUUAAUGAAUGAACUUGGGCAAAGUUGUCGCUGGCCUCAGCAAUGGGGCAUGUGCACACUUUGUUCAUCCACCCUUCACACCACUGUGCACUUCUCAUGGGUCGGGUUGCGUCUGAAAUAUGGCAAAGCCCUUCUCAUGUGUUUUAACCACACACUAUACAAGUUUUAGAAUGUAACAAUCAUGCAUCAAUGCAUAUAAUACAACUUUCAGCAACGGAUCUCUUGGCUCUC